AUAUGUCCCGAAUACCAUUGACACCGCCCACUAGAAUUCGAUUAUGUACUUUCCAAAGCAGUUUCAGCCCUGCAUUCUCAUCUGAUCUUUGUGACUGGUCACCCAGAGAGCUGACCACAGAGGCAGCGCCCAGCCUCUCCAUGGCUCCUCCCACUUCCUGAGACCCAGGGGCAUCCUCCUAGCUUGCCUGCCCGCCCUCCUCUGCCCCAGCUGGCUGAUCCCCUGCCCUCCCUGCUGCAGAGAUUUCUCUCUCCCUCUACCCAGUGACUCCUGCUCCUCCUUCCCAGCCCUGCCAGACACCCACACCCACCACGAGACGAAGGCAAGGACCCUGGUGAUAGGCUGUCCCAGCUCCUAGAACUUUCCCUGGGCAGAGGCACUCGGGCAUUUAUCCAGUGGACACUCAAACACUAAUUAAAAGAGAUAUAUGCUGCAUUGUUCACAAUAGCCACAGAGUGGAAGCAGCCUAGAUGCCCAUCAACAGAUGACUGGCUAAAGAAGUUACGGGAUAUAUACUUCAUGGAAUACUACUCUGCGAUCAAAAAAGAUGGCACUGUGUCUUUGGGACAAAAUGGAUAGAACUGGAGAGCUGCUGGCUCCUGAGAGAUGACCUUUCACCUCCCCAUCCUCAGCCCCAGUGCUGCAUCCACUGUCACAGAGCUUCAGGAAUGACGUGGACCUCUGUCCAGAGGGACUUCAUGAAAAGUUGGUCGCUUUAGUGCUGCAGGGGCUCUGUGAGGUGUGUGUGUGUGUGUGUGUGUGUGUGUGUGUGUGUGUGUGUGGUGUUUGCAUUUGUGUUUGUGUUGGAGAGUCCCUACCUCACUUCUCUGGCCCUAGGUAUUGAAUCUCCAGAGCCAUUUGUAGUUCAGGAAGUUUUGGUCUCUCUUGGGGAGUGCAGGAGGGAUUGGGGAAGCCAGGCCAGCAAGUGAGGCACCUCUGUACACAGGUCUUAGCAGCCUGGCACCUUCUAUGGGUUGGUGAGGCCUUAGCUCCCUCCCUGACGCUGGUGGUUGCUGCCUCAGUGUCUCAGGAAGAGAUUAAGGAAAAAGUUCUCAGAAGAAACUGCUCUGGAGGCCAAGCCUGAUGCUUUCUCCUUAUGUUCUGCAAGUGUUGAUGUUCAGACUGGAAUGUGCUCAGAGCUCACUCAGUCCAAACAUGACACUCAAAAGAGGGCUGGCUGGCAUCUGACAGGGGACAUCAGAGCACCUGGGCUUCUGGGCCCCCAGCCAGAACUCUGAAUCCCCAAAACCACAUCUGUGAAGCCUCUCUGAGAAUUAGGCCAUGAAAACAAUGCAGGUCCUAUUAGAGGUGUGGCUGCCACUUCCAGGGGUCAGGGCUAGAUACAUUUGUCAUCUGGCCUCCAUCUUCCCCAGGGUGUUAGAACUGCAACUGAGUGUCCCCACUGCCAAGCUAAGGGACCAACCAUCCAACUGCUUUCCCCAGGAAUCUGAAUUUUGGAGAGCGAGGCAGAGAGUGCUAGUCAUCUCCAAGAGACAACUGCUUGACCCAACUGUGUAAGCACUAAAUUUGAUCUUAUGAGUCCUGCUCCAAAGAGUCUCACCUUGGCUGGUGGGCACACCCAAGCCUGGCUCAGUCUCCUAGUCACUUCAGUCUCUGUUAUUGUAACUGAGAAGAAGAGAUUCCAAGUUGAUUUUAACUUAGACCACCUAGCAUGAGCUGUGGCCUUCACUCUGGCCCUUCCUGGCUAACUCUACUUGGCUGUAGUAACCCUCUCCGUGACCUUCACUUCAGGCUUUACCCAUGGUGCUCCUACUACCUAGCUGUAGCCACUCAGAAAGAAAAGUUUUCACUCACUGUACAUGUGUGUCUGAUAAAAAAAGGAGUCAGUCACAGAUGGU